rnacentral:tRNA from 3 species
GCUGGAGUAGCUCAGUUGGUAGAGCACGUCCUUGGUAAGGACGAGGUCACGGGUUCAAGCCCCGUCUCCAGCU